UACGGGGGGGGGCAAGCGUUGUUCGGAAUUACUGGGCGUAAAGGGCUCGUAGGCGGCCAACUAAGUCAGACGUGAAAUCCCUCGGCUUAACCGGGGAACUGCGUCUGAUACUGGAUGGCUUGAGUGUGGGAGAGGAAUGCGGAAUUCCAGGUGUAGCGGUGAAAUGCGUAGAUAUCUGGAGGAACACCGGUGGCGAAGGCGGCAUUCUGGACCAUUACUGACGCUGAGGAGCGAAAGCCAGGGGAGCAAAGCGGG
rnacentral:rRNA from 1 species